UUUCCGGUUGAUCCUGCCGGAGGUUACUGCUAUCGAGAUUCGACUAAGCCAUGCGAGUUGAAUGUUCUUCGUGAACAUGGCGGACUGCUCAGUAACACGUGGACAACCUACCCUCGGGUCCGGCAUAAUCCUGGGAAACUGGGGAUAAUUCCGGAUAGGUCACCGAUGCUGGAAUGCGCGGUGGUCCAAAGCUCCGGCGCCCGAGGAUGGGUCUGCGGCCUAUCAGGGUUGUAGUGGGUGUAACGUACCUACUAGCCUACGACGGGUACGGGUUGUGAGAGCAAGAGCCCGGAGAUGGAUUCUGAGACACGAAUCCAGGCCCUACGGGGUGCAGCAGGCGCGAAAACUUUACAAUGCGGGAAACCGUGAUAAGGGAAUCUCGAGUGCCAGCAUAUAAUGUUGGCUGUCCAGAUGCCUAAAAAGCAUCUGUUAGCAAGGGCCGGGCAAGACCGGUGCCAGCCGCCGCGGUAACACCGGCGGCCCGAGUGGUAACCGCUAUUAUUGGGUCUAAAGGGUCUGUAGCCGGCCAGGUAAGUCCCUUGGGAAAUCUGGCAGCUCAACUGUCAGGCUGCUAGGGGAUACUGUUUGGCUUGGGACCGGGAGAGGUGAGAGGUACCUUGAGGGUAGGGGUGAAAUCUUGUGAUCCUCGGGGGACCACCAGUGGCGAAGGCGUCUCACCAGAACGGGUCCGACGGUAAGGGACGAAAGCUAGGGGCACGGACCGGAUUAGAUACCCGGGUAGUCCUAGCCGUAAACGAUGCUCGCUAGGUGUCAGUCACGGUGCGACCGUGAUUGGUGCCGUAGGGAAGCCGUGAAGCGAGCCGCCUGGGAAGUAUGGCCGCAAGGCUGAAACUUAAAGGAAUUGGCGGGGGAGCACUACAACGGGUGGAGCCUGCGGUUUAAUUGGAUUCAACGCCGGA
rnacentral:rRNA from 1 species